GAUGGUAGUAGGAAGAGAUUUCUAUUUUUGGGUUAUGAGCCCAACAGCUUGGUUAUUAGCUUAUCCUACU
rnacentral:tRNA from 1 species